rnacentral:rRNA from 1 species
AAUGGGCGCAAGCCUGAUCCAGCAAUGCCGCGUGGGUGAAGACGGCCUGCGGGUUGUAAAGCCCUUUAGGCGGGGAGGAACGACCGGGCGCUAACAUCGUUCGGAAGUGACGUUACCCGCGGAAUAAGCACCGGCUAACUCCGUGCCAGCAGCCGCGGUAAUACGGAGGGUGCGAGCGUUAAUCGGAAUUACUGGGCGUAAAGCGUGCGUAGGCGGUUUGGUCAGUCGGUCGUGAAAGCCCCGGGCUCAACCUGGGAACGGCGGUCGAGACGGCCAGACUUGAGUGGGCUAGAGGAUCGUGGAAUUCCGGGUGUAGCGGUGAAAUGCGUAGAGAUCCGGAGGAACACCGAUGGCGAAGGCAGCGGUCUGGGGCCACACUGACGCUGAGGCACGACGGCGUGGGGAGCAAA